AACGAACGCUGGCGGCAUGCCUAACACAUGCAAGUCGAACGAGACCUUCGGGUCUAGUGGCGCACGGGUGCGUAACGCGUGGGAACCUGCCCUUAGGUUCGGAAUAACUCCCCGAAAGGGGUGCUAAUACCGGAUAAUGUCUUCGGACCAAAGAUUUAUCGCCUUUGGAUGGGCCCGCGUUGGAUUAGCUAGUUGGUAGGGUAAAAGCCUACCAAGGCGACGAUCCAUAGCUGGUCUGAGAGGAUGAUCAGCCACACUGGGACUGAGACACGGCCCAGACACAUCCCGGAUGCAGCAGGGGGGAGUGUGGGAUGAGGGGCGGAGGGUUGAAAAGCUAAUGCCGUGUGGAUGAUGACGACAGUAGGGGGGUAAAGCGCUUGGAACAAGUCUGAGCAAGAAGGUGCGGUAAGAGUUAGCACACGCGAGCUCCGUG
rnacentral:rRNA from 1 species